AACGAACGCUGGCGGCAUGCCUAACACAUGCAAGUCGAACGAGACCUUCGGGUCUAGUGGCGCACGGGUGCGUAACGCGUGGGAACCUGCCUUUAGGUUCGGAAUAACUCAGAGAAAUUUGAGCUAAUACCGGAUGAUGUCUUCGGACCAAAGAUUUAUCGCCUUUAGAUGUGCCCGCGUUGGAUUAGCUCGUGGGUGGGGUAAAGGCCUACCAAGGCGACGAUCCAUAGCUGGUCUGAGGGGAUGAUCAGCCACACUGGGACUGAGACCCGGCCCAGAAUCCUACGGGAGGCAGCAGUGGGGAAUAUUGGAAAAUGGGCGAAAGCAUGAUCCAGCAAUGCCGCGUGAGUGAUGAAGGCCUUAGGGUUGUAAAGCUCUUUUACCCGAGAUGAUAAUGACAGUAUCGGGAGAAUAAGCUCCGGCUAACUCCGUG
rnacentral:rRNA from 1 species